ACAAUUAUUCGCUUUUGCCUUUAGCCUAAUUCGUAUUUUCUCGUCAUCAAUAGUGGAGAAGAAAAUUCUAGAAGUUGCAACAAUUAUUUUGGGUAUGUUCUUCUUAUAAUUUUUCUUUUUUGUGUAUUUCUUUUUUUAUUUUCUUACUAUUUAUUUAAGGUACGUAGUUUUCCUUUGUUUGUAGAUGAAAAACUAGCUGGGUUCGUCUUCCUUUAGCUCCAUAUAAGGUAUGUUCUCGUUUCUGUACAUGCAUGAAAAUAUAUCUACGUUUACAUAUUCAUGGUUCAUGAGGUUGAAGGUCAUGAAUUUUCGCCGUUUCGAAGCUGGUGAGGAAUCAACUAUCAUCAUUCAUAGCCAACUUCAACAAUUUCACUCCAUUUUUCAUUCACUGUAGAAGAAAAUGAAAUUGCACUGGACGCAAAAAAAAAUGUUAAUAGAGGGUGAAAAUUAUAUAGAUGUGUACAUACACAUUUACAUACAUACAUGUUUACGUGUGUGAGGAGAGGGG
rnacentral:lncRNA from 1 species